UCUUAUGAAUGAGGAAGGAAAGUGGUUUCUUGAGACAGAAUCCGUUUCUGGUGAAGAUGCUGUGAA
rnacentral:pre_miRNA from 1 species